UAGAGUUUGAUCCUGGCUCAGAUUGAACGCUGGCGGUAUGCUUAACACAUGCAAGUCGAACGGUAGCAGGUCUUCGGAUGCUGACGAGUGGCGGACGGGUGAGUAACGCGUAGGAAUCUGCCUAUUAGUGGGGGACAACGUGUGGAAACGCACGCUAAUACCGCAUACGCCCUACGGGGGAAAGGAGGGGAUCGCAAGACCUUUCGCGAAUAGAUGAGCCUGCGUAGGAUUAGCUAGUUGGUGAGGUAAAGGCUCACCAAGGCGACGAUCCAUAGCUGGUCUGAGAGGAUGAUCAGCCACACUGGGACUGAGACACGGCCCAGACUCUACGGGAGGCAGCAGUGGGGAAUAUUGGACAAUGGGCGCAAGCCUGAUCCAGCCAUGCCGCGUGAGUGAUGAAGGCCCUAGGGUUGUAAAGCUCUUUCACCGGUGAAGAUAAUGACGGUAACCGGAGAAGAAGCCCCGGCUAACUUCGUGCCAGCAGCCGCGGUAA
rnacentral:rRNA from 1 species